rnacentral:rRNA from 1 species
AGGUUGGGAUAGCCGUUAGAAAUAGCGGGUAAUACCGAAUAUGGUUGCGGGAUUUGGUUCUGUAAAGAAAGGCGCUUUGGCGCCGCCUUGGGAUGGGCCCGCGUCCCAUUAGGUAGUUGGUGAGGUAAAGGCCCACCAAGCCCGAGAUGGGUAGCCGGCCUGAGAGGGUGAACGGCCACAUUGGGACUGAGAUACGGCCCAAANCCUACGGGAGGCAGCAGCUAAGAAUAUUCCGCAAUGGACGGAAGNCUGACGGAGCGACGCCGCGUGGAUGAAGAAGGCCGAAAGGUUGUAAAGNCCUUUUGUUACUGAAGAAUAAGCGGUGGAGGGAAUGCCANCGUGAUGACGUUAGGUAACGAAUAAGCCCCGGCUAAUUA